rfam:Picea glauca, whole genome shotgun sequence.
CUCAUGGAGAGUUUGAUCCUGGCUCAGGAUGAACGUUAGCAGCAUGCUUAACACAUGCAAGUUGGACGGGAAGUGGUUUUUCCAGUGGCGGACGGGUGAGUAAUGCGUAAGAACCUGCCCUUGGGAGGGGAAUAACAGCUGGAAACAACUGCUAAUACCCCAUAGGUUGAGGAUAAAAAGGAGGAAUGCACCCAAGGAGGGGCUCGUGUCUGAUUAGUUAGUUGGUGAGGCAAUGGCUUACCAAGGUGAUAAUCAGUAGCUGGUCCAAGAGGAUGAUCAUCCACACUGGGACUGAGACACGGCCUAGACUCCUACGGGAGGCAGUAGUGGGGAAUUUUCCGCAAUGGGAGAAAUCCUGACGGAGCAAUGUCGUGUGAAGGAAGAAGGCCCAUGGGUCAUGAACUUAUUUUCUCGGAGAAGAAACAAUGACGGUAUAUAAGGAAUAAGCAUCGGCUAACUCUAUGCCAGCAGCCACAGUAAGACAGAGGAUGCAAGCAUUAUUUGGAAUGAUUGGAUGUAAAGCGUCUAUAGGUGGCUUUUCAAGUCCAUCGUCAAAUCCCAGGGCUCAACCCUGGACAUGCAGUGGAAACUACCAAGCUAGAGUAUAGUAGGGGCAGAGGGAAUUUCCGGUGUAGCGGUGAAAUGCGUUGAGAUCAGAAAGAACACCAACGGUGAAAGCACUCUACUGGGUCGACACUAACACUGAGAGACGAAAGCUAGGGGAGCAAAUGGAAUUAGAUACCCCAGUAGUCCUAGUCGUAAAUGAUGGAUACUAAUUGUUGUGUGUAUCGACCCACACAGUGUUGUAGCUAACGCAUUAAGUAUCCCGCCUGGGGAGUACAUUUACAAGAAUGAAACUCAAAGGAAUUGACGGGGCCCUACACAAGUGGUGGAGCAUGUGGUUCAAUUCGAUGCAAAGAAAAGAACCUUACCAGGGCUUGACAUGCUGUGAAUCCUCCUGAAAGAGAGGAGUGCCUUCGGGAAUGCGGACACAGGUGGUGCAUGGUUUUCAUCAUCUCAUGCCGUAAUGUGUUGGGUUAAGUCCCACAAUGAGAGCAACCCUCGUGUUUAGUUACUAGCAUUGAUUUUGGAACCCUGAAUAGAUUGUUGGUGAUAAGCCGGAGGAAGGUGAGGAUGACGUCAAGUCAUCAUGCCCCUUACACCCUGGGCGACACACAUACUACAAUGACCGGGACAAAGGGUCGUGACCCCGUGAGGGAAAGAUAACCUCAAAAACCCGGCCUCAGUUUGGAUUGUAGGCUGCAACUCACCUACAUGAAGCCGGAAUCGCUAAUAAUCAUCGGUCAGCCAUACAACGGUGAAUCCAUUCUCGGGCCUUGUACACACCGCCCGUCACACUAUGGGAGUUGGCCAUGCCCGAAGUCGUUACUUUAACCACAAUGAGGGGGAUGUCGAAGGCUGUGCUAGUGACUAGAGUGGAGUCGUAACAAGGUAGCUGUACUGGAAGGUGCAACUGGAUCACCUCCUUU